rnacentral:rRNA from 1 species
GUGCCAGCAGCCGCGGUAAUACGUAGGGGGCGAGCGUUGUCCGGAAUUAUUGGGCGUAAAGCGCGCGCAGGCGGCUCCUUUAAGUCUGAUGUGAAAGCCCACGGCUCAACCGUGGAGGGUCAUUGGAAACUGGGGGACUUGAGUGCAGGAGAGGAGAGCGGAAUUCCACGUGUAGCGGUGAAAUGCGUAGAGAUGUGGAGGAACACCAGUGGCGAAGGCGGCUCUCUGGCCUGUAACUGACGCUGAGGCGCGAAAGCGUGGGGAGCAAACAGGAUUAGAUACCCUGGUAGUCCACGCCGUAAACGAUGAGUGCUAAGUGUUAGAGGGGUCACACCCUUUAGUGCUGCUAGCUAACGCGAUAAUGCACUCCGCCUGGGGAGUACGGCGCAAGACUGAAACUCAAAGGAAUUGACGG